rnacentral:tRNA from 2 species
GCCGCAAUAGCUCAGUCGGUAGAGCGACGCAUUCGUAAUGCGUAGGUCGGGGGUUCGAAUCCCUCUUGCGGCACCA